rnacentral:rRNA from 1 species
GACGAACGCUGGCGGCGUGCUUAACACAUGCAAGUCGAACGGUAAGGCCCUUCGGGGUACACGAGUGGCGAACGGGUGAGUAACACGUGGGUGAUCUGCCCUGCACUUCGGGAUAAGCCUGGGAAACUGGGUCUAAUACCGGAUAGGACCACUGCCUGCAUGGGUGGUGGUGGAAAGCUUUUGCGGUGUGGGAUGGGCCCGCGGCCUAUCAGCUUGUUGGUGGGGUGAUGGCCUACCAAGGCGACGACGGGUAGCCGGCCUGAGAGGGUGACCGGCCACACUGGGACUGAGAUACGGCCCAGACUCCUACGGGAGGCAGCAGUGGGGAAUAUUGCACAAUGGGCGCAAGCCUGAUGCAGCGACGCCGCGUGAGGGAUGACGGCCUUCGGGUUGUAAACCUCUUUCGCCAGGGACGAAGCGCAAGUGACGGUACCUGGAGAAGAAGGACCGGCCAACUACGUGCCAGCAGCCGCAGUAA